UACGUAGGGUGCGAGCGUUAAUCGGAAUUACUGGGCGUAAAGCGUGCGCCGGCGGUCUUGUAAGACAGGUGUGAAAUCCCCGGGCUUAACCUGGGAACUGCACUUGUGACUGCAGGGCUGGAGUGCGGCAGAGGGGGAUGGAAUUCCGCGUGUAGCAGUGAAAUGCGUAGAUAUGCGGAGGAACACCGAUGGCGAAGGCAAUCCCCUGGGCCUGCACUGACGCUCAUGCACGAAAGCGUGGGGAGCAAACAGG
rnacentral:rRNA from 1 species